GUCAAAGCUGUCCCCCUGGAAACAAGGUCUACCCGGAACUACUAGUCAGCGGCCGCCGCGCUGGAGUAGAUGCUGUGAAGCUGAACGGUGACUCUAUUCUGUGCAACAUGAAGUGACCAUUAUCGGUGAGUCCCCGGUUGCUACCAACUAUGGAUGUCCUAAUGCUAGUAUUGGUAUCGGGACCGAUACUGGACACGUGCAAAUGUCCCCAAUACCUAAUCCGAUAAUCGCCAGCGGGACCCCUGCCGGCAGGUAUCACUCUAUUCUGUGCAACAUGAAGUGACCAUUAUCGGUGAGUCCCCGGUUGCCACCAACUAUGGAUGUCCUAAUGCUAGUAUUGGUAUCGGGACCGAUACUGGACUCGUGCAAAUGUCCCCAAUACCUAAUCCGAUAAUCGCCGGUGGGACCCCUGCCGGCAGGUAUCAUGGAGGUGCCAAACUAUGCAGUGCGCAUGAUAGCCAGAACCUGUGGCUAAUGCGGAACAUCACCGUUCACCGACGCCCGAUCAAAGUUGAUAGCAGCGUCUAAACAUCCUGAAGUUAACUGCCGUUUAGCUCACGGAUGCGGACCAGGGUCACCGCGGUGUCCGGAUCAGCUGUGAGGACAGCCGGAGGUCCCAUACCGUCACACCUUUACUGCUGCUAGCCAUGGCAUUGAUCAGUGUAUGCAAUCUACAUCCCUAAGGGGACUAAAAAAAGUGGGGGAAAAGAAUGUGUAAAAUAAAUAAACAAUAAAAGUGAAUUAACCCCUUCCCUAA